GCAUAUCAAUAAGCGGAGGAAAAGAAACUAACAAGGAUUCCCCUAGUAACGGCGAGUGAAGCGGGAUGAGCUCAAAUUUAAAAUCUGGCUGGUUUACUAGUCCGAAUUGUAGUUUAAAGAAGUGUUUUCGGUGGCAGCCUGGGUAUAAAUCCUUUGGAACAGGGUAUCAUAGAGGGUGAGAAUCCCGUCUUUGACUCAGUGCAUGCUACUAUGUGAUACAUUUUCAAAGAGUCGAGUUGUUUGGGAAUGCAGCUCAAAAUGGGUGGUAAAUUUCAUCUAAGGCUAAAUAUUGGCGAGAGACCGAUAGCGAACAAGUACCGUGAGGGAAAGAUGAAAAGAACUUUGAAAAGAGAGUUAAACAGUGCGUGAAAUUGUUGAAAGGGAAACGCUUGACACCAGUCAUGCGAGCGGAAAAUCAGUCUUUUGCAGUGGGGGGUUGUGUGGGAUCGGACCGCAAGGCCGGCCUAUGCUGCAUCUCUGCUGUAAGUGAUGCACUUUUUCGUUUGCAGGCCAACAUCAGUUUCUUCUGCUGGACAAAACUCUUGAGAAGGUAGCAGCUUGGGCUGUGUUAUAGCUCUUGAGCGAUACAGUGGAGGGGACUGAGGUUUUCGCAGCGCGUGCUUUCGGGCAAGGCUGAUU
rnacentral:rRNA from 1 species